rnacentral:rRNA from 1 species
AACGAACGCUGGCGGCAUGCCUAACACAUGCAAGUCGAACGAGACCUUCGGGUCUAGUGGCGCACGGGUGCGUAACGCGUGGGAACCUGCCUUUAGGUUCGGAAUAACUCAGAGAAAUUUGAGCUAAUACCGGAUAAUGUCUUCGGACCAAAGAUUUAUCGCCUUUAGAUGGGCCCGCGUAAGAUUAGCUAGUUGGUGGGGUAAAGGCCUACCAAGGCGACGAUCUUUAGCUGGUCUGAGAGGAUGAUCAGCCACGCUGGGACUGAGACACGGCCCAGACUCCUACGGGAGGCAGCAGUGGGGAAUAUUGGACAAUGGGCGAAAGCCUGAUCCAGCAAUGCCGCGUGAGUGAUGAAGGCCUUAGGGUUGUAAAGCUCUUUUACCCGAGAUGAUAAUGACAGUAUCGGGAGAAUAAGCUCCGGCUAACUCCGUGCCAGCAGCCGCGGUAAU